AUGGGCCCGCGGUGCAUUAGCUAGUUGGUAGGGUAAUGGCCUACCAAGGCAACGAUGCAUAGCCGACCUGAGAGGGUGAUCGGCCACACUGGGACUGAGACACGGCCCAGACUCCUACGGGAGGCAGCAGUAGGGAAUCUUCCGCAAUGGACGAAAGUCUGACGGAGCAACGCCGCGUGUAUGAAGAAGGUUUUCGGAUCGUAAAGUACUGUUGUUAGAGAAGAACAAGGAUAAGAGUAACUGCUUGUCCCUUGACGGUAUCUAACCAGAAAGCCACGGCUAACUACGUGCCAGCAGCCGCGGUAAUACGUAGGUGGCAAGCGUUGUCCGGAUUUAUUGGGCGUAAAGCGCGCGCAGGCGGUCUUUUAAGUCUGAUGUGAAAGCCCCCGGCUUAACCGGGGAGGGUCAUUGGAAACUGGAAGACUGGAGUGCAGAAGAGGAGAGUGGAAUUCCACGUGUAGCGGUGAAAUGCGUAGAUAUGUGGAGGAACACCAGUGGCGAAGGCGACUCUCUGGUCUGUAACUGACGCUGAGGCGCGAAAGCGUGGGGAGCAAACAGGAUU
rnacentral:rRNA from 1 species